UCAAACUUGGUCAUUUAGAGGAAGUAAAAGUCGUAACAAGGUUUCCGUAGGUGAACCUGCGGAAGGAUCAUUAAAAUAGUGCCCUCCUUAGUUGAGGGACUAUACCACUGUCCCCGCCUCCUCCGUGAGUAUACUCACGGAUGACGGUGUGGUUAUUGUGUCCACCCAAUUGUGAAACUUUACUAUUUGCUUCGGCAGCACUCUUCAGCGGGCAACCGUUGGAGGGGUAAGGCUGUCAGAGGCCCAUAUCAAAACCAGUUGAUGAAAUGUCAUGCGGUCUGAUAACUACUAUUUGAGAAAUCAAAUUACGUUAAAACUUUCAGCAACGGAUCUCUUGGUUCUCGCAUCGAUGAAGAACGCAGC
rnacentral:misc_RNA from 1 species